UACGUAGGGGGCAAGCGUUGUCCGGAUUUAUUGGGCGUAAAGCGCUCGCAGGCGGCUUGCUACGUCGUGCGUGAAACACCCCGGCUCAACUGGGGAGGGUCGUGCGAUACGGGCAGGCUGGAGGCCAGUAGGGGGAUGCGGAAUUCCGGGUGUAGUGGUGGAAUGCGUAGAUAUCGGGAGGAACACCAGUGGCGAAGGCGACUUCCUGGCCUGUUCUUGACGCUGAGGCGCGAAAGCUAGGGGAGCAAACGGG
rnacentral:rRNA from 1 species